rnacentral:misc_RNA from 1 species
AACGCACAUUGCGCUUUCUGGCAUUCCGGCGAGCAUGCCUGUUUGAGUACCUAUAAAUUCUCAAUCAUUUAUGAUUGGAAAUGAGUCUUGUCUUUUUGGAGUUUGACUUUAACACCAUGUCUACCAGCGGUGAUUGAACCGCAUUGAAGAACAGUAAUUGGAUGAGUUUAUUCUCAGCCUUUUCCUAGUACUUGAUAAGGGACAAGAACAGUUUCUUUUAGCAUGACCAGAGCUUCAAAAGCUCAGAACCUUGAUCUCAAAUCAGGUGGGGAGACCCGCUGAACUUAA